rnacentral:lncRNA from 1 species
AGAGAAACUUCUUACAUCUAUACCUAGGGAAAGAGUUCAUUUAUUUCAAUAAAUUAAAAUACCUGAAAGGAGAUACCCUUUUUGACUUCUGGAACUGUCACAAAGCAUUUUUCUUAUGAGAUAGAUUCAUGAAUCUUUCUUGUUCCUCUGCUUCUUAGAAGUCAUGGCUGUGACAUGAAUACAAGGCUCCAAUGACAGAGAUUAGGAAUUGAAGCAGUAGUGCAACAAAAUAUGCAGAAAGUAUAAAAACUAACAAAUCUUCACUAGUUAUUCAUGUUUUCGAAGAAUUUCAAUGAAUACAAGUACUCAACAGCAAAUGAUUUGGUCUGCCAAUAUUCAGGUGCUGGAAUGAGGAAAGGACAUGCUGCUUUGGGCGAGGGGAAAACAGUAGCAAAAAAAGUAGAUGUGCUGCUGCCUCUGCCACUGCUGCUGGCUCCACACACCUUGGAUUUUCCUGCCCUACACCUUGACCUCACACCCUGGAUGUCUGAAGAAUGUGGCCAUGCUGCCGGGGAAUUUCCAUUCCCUUUCAUCUCCAUUUAG